rnacentral:lncRNA from 1 species
GACAGCAUCAGCAAUUCAACAUUACAUUCCACUCAGUGACAUGGAGCAGUAAAAUAUGCAGGAAACAAGAGAAGCCAACUAAAAAAAGCUAGAUGUUUGGCAUGUGAAAUUAUGUUUUGCAACCUUGUCAAAACUAUUAGAUAGCUGACAUAUACAUAUACAUAUACAUAUACAUAUACAUAUACAUAUACAUAUACAUAUACAUAUACAUAUACAUAUACAUAUACAUAUACAUAUACAUAUACAUAUACAUAUACAUAUACAUAUACAUAUACAUAUACAUAUACAUAUACAUAUACAUAUACAUAUACAUAUACUAAGACUAUGGUCUCCAGGAAGCAUACUGAAAGUGGUACCAUUGAAUUUGAUCAGAUGAAAUCACUGGAACUGGUGUGUAGAUUUUUUUUGGGGGUUCGAUACCCCACCUAGCAACAACAUAUAAAAUUAACCUGCUGCAUUAUCAACCACAUUCAUAAAUAGUGUAAAAAAUUUUGGAUGCAACUGAAUAAAUUAGUACCGUCUUCUCUUUCAUUAUAAACCAUGCCUUUAACAUGUCAGUGAAAAACGCCAUGUUGUAUUGAUUAAAAGUUCUCCUAUCUAUAAUCCAUAAGAACAAAUAUUCUAAUUAUCUGGAGAAA